CAGCCGCCGCGGGAAAACGUAGGUGGCAAGCGUUGUCCGGAAUUAUUGGGCGUAAAGGGCUCGCAGGCGGUUUCUUAAGUCUGAUGUGAAAGCCCCCGGCUCAACCGGGGAGGGUCAUUGGAAACUGGGAAACUUGAGUGCAGAAGAGGAGAGUGGAAUUCCACGUGUAGCGGUGAAAUGCGUAGAGAUGUGGAGGAACACCAGUGGCGAAGGCGACUCUCUGGUCUGUAACUGACGCUGAGGAGCGAAAGCGUGGGGAGCGAACAGGAUUAGAUACCCCGGUAGUCCCUGUCUCUUAUAU
rnacentral:rRNA from 1 species